UCCGCCGCCGCAGCGGCCGACGUCCAGCAGCCUGAGGAGCACCGUGGAGUCCUUCAACAGGCGCCGGCUGUGGGCGCCGCCGCUCUCUCUCCGGUCCUCCUCCCGCCUCCGACAUCCGGCCAACCCGCCGCCGCCCCACCAUCGGAGUACUACCGGGGCCAAAGCCGCCCUGGCCGAGCUUGUGGGAAGGGAAGAAGGAGGCGUAGUGCACUAGAGCUCGACCGGUUGCCACUGUGUUUCCCAGUAUUACCCUUUAACAAUGAACGGCUAGGAUGAUCAGUUGAUUUCCGAAGCACCAUAACAAACCCUCUUUUUCCGACCCCUGCCUUUCUGCGCCGAUUCCCUUUGUAUGCUUCCGCCUCUUCCUUCUCAUCUCUAUUCUCUCGCCCACCUAUUUCACCAGAUCGGUCCAAGAGCCCAGUUAAGCUCCAGCCUCGCCCGCCUUGAUCGAGGACUAGCAAGAAAGAAGACGAAGACAUCGACAGCUUUCAUCUUUAUUGGGAAGGGAAGUUUCUCCGAUCAAUCCAAGAAGGAUCUGGGCAUGGAUUCGUUCGUCGAUGUUCCUCUUCCCAUGGAUAAGCUUUCGUUGGGGGCUUUAGGUGAAGCCGGCGGCUCCGAAGCCGUAAACAAGAAUCAGAGUUUUGUCGUUCUGGUAUCAACAGGAAGCUUCAAUCCUCCAACUUAUAUGCACUUACGCAUGUUUGAGCUAGCAAAAGAUGCAUUGAAGGCGCAAGGCUAUUCUGUUAUAGGAGGCUACAUGUCGCCUGCGAAUGAUGCAUACAGGAAAAAGGACCUUUUGUCCGCCACCCAUCGAGUCCAGUUGUGUGAGCUAGCUUGCAAAAGCUCUUCCUUCGUGAUGGUAGAUCCAUGGGAGGCAAAGCAAUACGGCUACCAGCGUACACUAACUGUUUUGUCUAGAAUUAAGAGCUCCUUGUGCAAGACUGGAUUGGCUAGUGAAGAAUCACUCAAAAUAAUGCUUUUAUGCGGUUCUGAUCUGCUUGAAUCUUUCAGCAUUCCUGGAUUCUGGAUGCUUGAUCAGAGGAAGAACGGACAACCAUUGGACUUGUUUAAAAGACAAGAUAGCAAAAGUUAUGUGCCACAAGGAUGGUGUAACUACCAUGGCUGGGAGUUCUAAAUUCGAGAAUGGAAAUUCCUGAAUUAUUAGGUGUCCCCACUAAUGACUAGUGCGCAUGGGUGUUGAAUAGCCUGAUAUUCCAGAGCAUCUGACAGAUAAACCUCCCACUUGGACAUUUCCACAUGGUCAGGACAAUAUGUAGAGAUUUUGGUGUCGUCUGCAUACGCAGAGAAGGAAGGGACAUUGAGAAAAUAAUAUCCAGCAAUGAAAUAUUAAACGAAAAUAUGAGUAAUAUCAUCUCAGUGGAUGAGAUAGUACCAAACCAGAUCAGUGCAACAAGAGUGAGGUAAUGAUUUUGGUAUAUUCCCUCCCAAGUGGCGUGGCCCUUUUGAGUUGAGGGGUCAAUAUGUUCAUUCCAUUUCGCCCCUAGUGUACAUUUCACGUGACCUGAUGACCCACGCUGCCCCCUUUAAUGCUGGAGCCCAUAUGUAAGAGCUCAUAUGAGAGUCAGUUGUUUUUAGUCUUUGCCUAUGUUGUCUUGAUAACCAGUUAACCACCAGAAUACCAAAACACUUCAGGUUUUGAUCAGCAAAUGUUCUUGAAGAUUUUAUAAAUCUUUGCCUUUCAACUCUUUUAGUUGCAAAUGAAGGAGAAAUGAAGGAUUGUUAGAUGAGGUAUAGGGGGAAUGUGAAAAGUGUUGGUGAGCUAUCUAAAAAAUUCAAAUAAUCAAGUUAUCACCAUGAUAUCACUGUAAUAUGGUAAACAUAUCCUUUUCAUUCAAUUAUCAUGACAAGAUAUCAUGAUGAUAGUGCGGCAGCAUUCCCAAUAAAUAUGAUGCAAAUUUUAUUUGGAAAAUCUUUUCCAUGAAACCCCAGAAGAUGUCAAAUGCAUUUAAGAUGAGGUAAGAAAUCUCGGAUGAUGUUAAUCACAUCACGUGCUUAUGUAAGCUGAGCCAAUCAGACCACACUGUUGGCCUGAUGACUAUCUUGAACAAGAGAAAGCAUGAAAACGAACAGCUUUUGUUCAUAGUCUUGACAUUUACCUGACACAUUCAGAGGUUGGUGUGGAGUGAUUGUAAGCUAUAAGUUCCUGGCUACUUGACAGCCUUGCUUUGUCCUGUUUUCUCUAAUCCAUAACUUAAGACUAAGCCUUUUGUCAUGCUUUAUAUUUCAGGGAGUGCAUAAGGAGGGGGUUGUCAAUUAAAUAUCUGACUCCCGAUGAAGUCAUUGACUACAUCAAGGAUCAGAAACUCUACCUGAAAUCAAACGAUGAUUGAUGCUGUUAGAUCGACAUGAUUCGAAUGAUGACCGGCUUCUCAAAAUAAUAUUAUUUAUGGAGUUCAUUGUGCAUUUUAUGUGUGUAGUUGCUGUCAGAUGAAGCAUGAUCCAAGCAACCUCAAAAGCCAUUGCACUUUGCAAUCUUUCAUCCCAUCCCUGAAGACAGCAAUUUCAUUCUAUAGCAUGGGCACUAAAAGGCAGGAGGGUCAAUUAAGUGGGUUAUCUAUAGUGUCAAGAUGUGGUGAUUAAAUGGUAAAAUUUAAUUUAAAUACUGCAACAUUAAGUGGGGUUUAUCCCCUUCCUUUCAGUCAAAAAAAAAGGUUAAAUUUUAUUAAAAAGGCAAACUGUGGAAAAAAGUAGUGUUUCCAGCAUCUGGAUACAUUCUGUCGUUCCGUUCUACCGGUGGUAUAGAAUUUAGUGAGUAUUUUCA